AGUAAUAAAAAGUAGUGAAGAAUAUUAAAAACAUAGUAAAAAAUAAAACACAAUAGGUUAUACCUCUCAGCUGCAUUUAGCAUUUGAGAACAUUUAGAAUAUCAAAGUCUAUGGAUUACUCUUAGAAAGAUCCCCACCUAAUAUUGGCUCUAAAUUCCAUCUGAUAUUUAUUGCAGAAUUGGGGAACUGCACAGCAACUUUCCAUCCUCUACCUCUUCAUUCCCCACUUCCCUUAUUAUUCUGGCUACAUGGAGAGAGUAUUGACUUCUGUUCCAAGCAUAUGUCUUUCUUAGUGGGACUCCCCUUCUAGACCCUAGGGACCUUGAGCAACUAGUUUGUGUGCCAGCAGUUCUGUAUUUUUGGAUGAUGAAAAUUGAUUUUCCUCCUUUUAGCAGGUGCAGUCUCCGAGUGAGCCUCUCCCCUCAUGACCUGUGCAGAUUAUGCCAUCAAUAGUGGGAGAGGGGAUGAGGACGAACAUUUGGAGCCCUCAGCACACAGCUCCAAGGGGCCUGGUGAAGCCUUGCAGCAAUGAGGGUGCACUAGAAUAAAAGCGUCAAGACAAAGACCUGUGGCCUCGUCAAAGUUUGUUGAAGCAAAUGUUUCAGGUUGCCCCUCAAGUUCCAGGACGGGUAUCUUUUAAGUAUCGACACCAAGAUUGGAGGCAGAAACGUGCAGGGAAAGCAUGGGAUUAAAGGCAAGUGAUUCCAUUCUUGCCCUUACUCUGUGGUUGUCCACUGUGGCCUUGAAGAGUUUUUUCUGUGGCCAUCUCUGCAUUCCUUAAACCUUCAUUGUCUUAUAAGGUAGAUAUAAUUAUUGCCAUACUUCUCAAUUUGAUCUUGUUUUUCCUACUUUUUACCUAAAGAUCAAACUGUGAUCAAUUCUUCUUACCAAGGAAAACUCUGGGCAAAAUGUAAAGAUGGCAAAAUAAUGUCUUUGUGGUUCCUAAGACUUUCUUUCUAGUUCCUUUUUCUCUCCCAUGGCUCCUUCCUCCCUCUG